CUUUCAUGUAUAUACUUAACAUCUACAUUUUCCAUCCAGUUCAAAUGAAACAUGGUACACAACAUCAGCAUGAAGUGGACAUGCAAAUAAUGUCUGGACUAUCAAGUUUGAUUAUUUUUAUCUACAGUUAAUAUGCCAUUUUUUAUUUCAUUAUAUCACAGCUACAUUGAUACCUUGUGUAUUAAAACUCUUGCAGAUUCCAUCAGGGUCAAAUGAAAUAUGGUAUACUUCAUGGACAGGCAGCAGACAUACACAUACUAUGAUGCUCAUACAAAGGGCCACAAGUAUUUGAAGCAUUGGUCAACAAAAACUGAACUGUUUGAUGGAUCACACAGAAUUUACAAUCAUAUUUCCAGACACAAAUGUAGAGAAUUAAUGAAAAAGAAAUAUUAGUAUCAAGGAUAAGGGAGAAAGAAAAAUAUGCAUCAUGCAUGAAGAACCUGCUUUAGAUUAAUUUGCAAAAUACAUUGAAACCUCACAAUUGUUAAUGGCAUAAUGCGUAUGGAAGUUAAGAAAGGUGUACUUUUCUGGAAAAUAACAACAAUAUUUUUUCAAUUUUCUGAGCAUAAUUCAACAUAAAAAUUAUAACAUGGCUACAUGGAUAAUACAAAAUGUGCAAUCAUAUUUCCAGACACAAAUUGGGAGAAUCAGAGAAGAAAUAUCAAGAAUUAGGGAAAAGGAAAUAUUUGUCAUGCAUGAAGAACCUGCUUUAGAUUAAUUUGCAAAAUACUUUGAAACCUCACAAUUAUUAAUGACAUUAUGCAUAUGGAAGUUUAGAAACGUGCAUUUUGAUUAAUCAUCUUCUGGCACUUUAAAAUAAAAUAAAAAUAUAUU